UACGAAGGUGGCAAGCGUUACUCGGAAUUACUAGGCGUAAAGGGCAGGUAGGUGGUUUGGUAAGUCUGUUGUGGAAGCUCCCGGCUUAACUGGGAGAGGUCAACGGAUACUACCAAGCUUGAGUAUAGGAGAGGUUACUGGAAUUCCCGGUGUAGCGGUGAAAUGCGCAGAUAUCGGGAGGAACACCAAUGGCGAAAGCAGGUAACUGGACUAUUACUGACACUAAGCUGCGAAAGCUAGGGGAGCGAACGGG
rnacentral:rRNA from 1 species